UACGGAGGGUGCAAGCGUUGCUCGGAAUCACUGGGCGUAAAGCGCCCGCAGGCGGCCUGACAAGUCGGAUGUGAAAGCCCUGGGCUCAACUCAGGAAUUGCAUUCGAAACUGGCAGGCUCGAGUACGGGAGAGGGGGGUGGAAUUCCUGGUGUAGGGGUGAAAUUCGUUGAUAUCAGGAGGAACACCGGCGGCGAAGGCGGCCCCCUGGCCCGCAACUGACGCUCAUGGUCGAAAGCGUGGGGAGCAAACGGG
rnacentral:rRNA from 1 species